rnacentral:rRNA from 1 species
UACGUAGGUGGCAAGCGUUUGUCCGGAUUUAUUGGGUUUAAAGGGUGCGUAGGCGGCCUUGUAAGUCAGUGGUGAAAUACUCCAGCUUAACUGGAGGGGUGCCAAUGAUACUGCAGGGCUUGAGUACAGAUGAGGUAGGCGGAAUUGACGGUGUAGCGGUGAAAUGCAUAGAUAUCGUCAAGAACACCGAUAGCGAAGGCAGCUUACUGGGCUGUAACUGACGCUGAGGCACGAAAGCGUGGGUAGCAAACAGG